GGUCUCGUGGUGUAGUGGUUACGGCGUCUGUCUAGCGCACAGGAGGUCGGCGGUUCGAUUCCGCACGAGAUCA
rfam:Anisakis simplex genome assembly, scaffold: ASIM_contig0012265